UGCGCCUUGCCAGCCCGCUCAGAAACUUAAAGGAAUUGACGGGACCCCGCACAAGCGGUGGAUCAUGUUGUUUAAUUCGAUGAUACGCGAAGAACCUUACCAGGUCUUGACAUCCCCCGCGAUGCUUUAGAGAUAAAGCGGAGGUAUUCGGGGAGACAGGUGGUGCAUGGUUGUCGUCAGCUCGUGUCGUGAGAUGUUGGGUUAAGUCCCGCAACGAGCGCAACCCCUAUUGCUAGUUACCAUCAUUAAGUUGGGGACUCUAGCGAGACUGCCAGUGAUAAACUGGAGGAAGGUGGGGAUGACGUCAAAUCAUCAUGCCCCUUAUGACCUGGGCUACAAACGUGAUACAAUGGCUGGAACAAAGGGAUGCGAAGCAGUGAUGUGGAGCGAAACCCAUAAAAACAGUCUCAGUUCGGAUUGAAGUCCGCAACUCGACUUCAUGAAGUCGGAAUCGCUAGUAAUCGCGGAUCAGAACGCCGCGGUGAAUACGUUCUCGGGGUUU
rnacentral:rRNA from 1 species